rnacentral:rRNA from 1 species
GAUGAACGCUGGCGGCGUGCCUAAUACAUGCAAGUCGAGCGAACGGACGAGAAGCUUGCUUCUCUGAUGUUAGCGGCGGACGGGUGAGUAACACGUGGAUAACCUACCUAUAAGACUGGGAUAACUUCGGGAAACCGGAGCUAAUACCGGAUGAUAUUUUGAACCGCAUGGUUCAAAAGUUAAAGACGGUCUUGCUGUCACUUAUAGAUGGAUCCGCGCUGCAUUAGCUAGUUGGUAAGGUAACGGCUUACCAAGGCAACGAUGCAUAGCCGACCUGAGAGGGUGAUCGGCCACACUGGAACUGAGACACGGUCCAGACUCCUACGGGAGGCAGCAGUAGGGAAUCUUCCACAAUGGGCGAAAGCCUGACGGAGCAACGCCGCGUGAGUGAUGAAGGUCUUCGGAUCGUAAAACUCUGUUAUUAGGGAAGAACAUAUGUGUAAGUAACUGUGCACAUCUUGACGGUACCUAAUCAGAAAGCCACGGCUAACUACGUG